rnacentral:rRNA from 1 species
UACGGAGGGUGCAAGCGUUAAUCGGAAUUACUGGGCGUAAAGCGCGCGUAGGUGGUUCGUUAAGUCGGAUGUGAAAGCCCCGGGCUCAACCUGGGAAUUGCAUUCGAUACUGGCAGACUAGAGUAUGGUAGAGGGAAGUGGAAUUCCAGGUGUAGCGGUGAAAUGCGUAGAUAUCUGGAGGAACAUCAGUGGCGAAGGCGACUUCCUGGACCAAUACUGACACUGAGGUG